GGGGCUCGUAGCGGAGGUGCAUAUCAUCAGCGGAGGAGCAUAUCAAUAAGCGGAGGAGCAUAUCAAUAAGCGGAGGAGCAUAUCAAUAAGCGGAGGAGCAUAUCAAUAAGCGGAGGAACAUAUCAAUAAGCGGAGGAACAUAUCAAUAAGCGGAGGAACAUAUCAAUAAGAGGAGGAAAUUAUUCAUAACUGGCAGGAGCGGAUCUCUUGGUGCGGGCAUCGAUGAAGAACGCAGCGAAAUGCGAUAAGUAAUGUGAAUUGCAGAAUUCAGUGAAUCAUCGAAUCUUUGAACGCACAUUGCGCCCUCUGGUAUUCCGGAGGGCAUGCCUGUUCGAGCGUCAUUUCAACCCUCAAGCCUGGCUUGGUGAUGGGGCACUGCCUUCUAACGAGGGCAGGCCCUGAAAUUCAGUGGCGAGCUCGCCAGGACCCCGAGCGCAAUAGUUAAACCCUCGCUCUGGAAAGGCCCUGGCGGUGCCCUG
rnacentral:rRNA from 1 species